GGGAUGGAAAAGGAGGCGGUGUGGCUGAGUUAGAAAUAAUGAAGAAAUAGAGGGUGUCGGUGGUCGAGGUGGUGGUGGUGGUCGAGGUGGUGGUGGUAGCCGAGGUGGUGGCGGCGGCCGAGGAGGUCGCGGCGGGAGAGGAGGUGGCGGCGGUGGAGUGUAGAAUCGACUGUCUCUACUAAAAAUAAUAUGAGUAAAAAUGUAAGUGUUAACAAAAAGAACUACAAUAAAUAACGUUUGAUGUACGGUUUGCUGAUGUAUCAUGCUACCGGUACCGGAUAUAGCCCAGACGAAGGCUUAAAUGUUAUGUAAUUAUAUCUUUCUUAUGUAAGUUAAUAUCUCUUUCAUUACGUAUUGUAUAAUCAAUCUGUCGUAGACUCGUAGCUGUUGUGUUUAUUUUCGGGAUUUUAAACGAUAAAAAGUAUUAGAAAAAAAAACUAAUAAUAAUGAAAGACAAAACCUUAAACGUUUUUAAAUCAGAUUUACUACAUAACUUUGUUUUGUCUACGAACUCGUUUACCAAAAUUGUAUAAUCUAUAAAACAAAUCUAGAUCAUUCUAAAACAGAAUAGAAAUUGUGGCAUAAGGAGAAAUGAAGACAUGCAAGAUGUUGGUAGCUCUGAAGGGUUCUAAAACAAGAAAAAAUGUGUGAGUAACCUGACCAAAAAAGAAAACAGUAAGUCGUUAGUGUAUAGUUUCUUGGAGAAUAAAACAAUGAUUAAAUUCAUAUUCAAAAAUGUGGAAAACAUAUUAACAUUCUUAACUAAUCAAAUCAAAUUUAAGAAUGUUGCUAACAUAUUAACAUGCUCUUUUGGCUCAAACGAACCCAGUUGACCCUAAUGUUAGACUUGAUCAAGUGCCUCUUAUUCAGGCUGCUGUUUACCAAAUCUAGUCUGAACCCAAUCCCAAACUUCGUGACUUAGAUCCUCGAUCAGCCACGACAAUACACUGCUACAUUGUUGCAUCGGUUCAAACUUCAAAUCAAACUGAGUUUUCUCCCCCCAAGCUUUUCCAUCAAAUUAACUCUUUUCAACAUAUAUAGUAACUAAAUGAUGAAAGACGUUUAAGUAUAUUUCAUGAAAAAUGUUAGAAAUCUAAUUUGAAAGAUCUUAUGGUCGAAAAAUGUAUUAGAUUGAUAUUACUACUACAAUGACCAGAUCGUACUUAAGAUUAGUAAGCAAUGAAAAUAUAAAACGACCAAAUAUGUACUUUGAUUUCUACAAUAGUCAAUAGGUUUACAGAGUAAAAAAUAGGAAAAACACAAAAAGGACUGUUAACCUCACCUUUUCCACAGUUGUUGCUGAGAUUGGAAAGCUUCAUUGUGAUUAUUAUAUUUGCAUGUGUUUUAGUAUUGUCUCACAUUUCUGAUUUAAAGAUUAAUCAUAUGUGCGAUCCGUUUUAAAACUGAAUAUAGUUUACAUAUAGCAUUAUUUUAAGGUAGAUUACAUUUUAGAAGCAGCAAACUCUCCUUUGGUUCAUUGUCAUCAAAUAUACAUACUUUGUAAUCAUGAAAGCCAAAUAACAGAAAGAACAAAAUUAUUAGAGAAUCAACAUAAACUUUUCUAGUUAGUUGUGUGUAAUUUCCUAUAAACAUUCUCAAUCUUAUUUUAUUUAAUAUCAAAAGUGAUCUAACAUUUUUUGUAGUUUUUAUCAUGAUUUAUAUAAACUCUUAAAUAAUAAACUUCGCAUAUAUGCGGAGCCUACACUAGAUUAAGACCUCCUUAUCUUUUCUUUCAUGUUUCUCUGCAAGUUUAAUUUUUCAGCUGAUACUUUUGCUAUAUCCGCUAUUUUUGUAACCUUUGUCUGGUUUGGACGAAACAUUUUAAGGAACGAAAACAACGAAUUGACAAAAAAAACAGCAGUAAUGAAAUUUCCAAUUUGAUGUAACUUUGUACAUUAAUUUUGGUGUGGUUUUAGGUACCUAACUUUGAAUGUGUUCAUGGGUUGCGUUAUUUGUAUUUUAUUUUGUUGAUUUUUCCUUGUACUAAUUAUCUGCUAUAUUUAAGUAUUACUCUUGGCAUUAACCACAAACCUAUUCGUCAAAAAGAAAAAAAAAUUAGAGAAGUAAGAUUGCAUUGUAUGAAAUUGAAGUCGAGUGUGCAUAAGAAAUUAACCAGAGAGGUAGAUUCAAAAAAAAAAAAAACGCUUGAGUCCAAUAACCACUGAGGUAGAACUGAUAACAGAGGACUUUUUUUUAAACAAAAAAAGACUAAACCAAUAAAAGAGCAAGACGGCAAUGAAAUGUCACUCAGAUUCCAAUUCAGCAGAUCGGAUUCCGUUCAAUGAGAUCGAGAUCCACCUGCGACGAAGAACGAAAUGAAAUGCAGAUUGAGUUAUAUAUAGCAAUGGAAACAAGUGAAUGGGUUAACUAAAAAUGUCUUAAGAAGAAAAAUAUCUUGUGAGUUACCUUGUGACCAAACAAAUCUCGGAUGUUGUCGAUACCGUAUAAUAUCAUUGUUGGCCUAGUUUAUGGGAAAAAAAAAAUCAGCAAUGAACAUAUGAUGUUGGAAGUGGGGGAAUCAUACCUUUCAAGAGAAAGACCCCAAGCUAUGACUCGGACAUCCUCAGGGAAACCCAUCGGUAAAAGCAUUUCUGGUCUGAACACUCCAGGGUUUCCAAUCUCUACCCACUUCCCUAAACCUUCAUGGUAGCUGAAACAAACAAAGAUUUAACCCUUUUUGUCUCUCAGUUUGCUGAUGAGAUUUUUACAAGAUUAUUAUAUAGUUUUCAUCAAUUACCUGAAAAUCUCCAUACUUGGUUCUGUGAAAGGGUUGUAAGCUGGCUUGAACUGUAUAUUUGGAAUCCCUGAAUAACAUAAAUUGCAUGCAUGAGUUUUAGUUUCUCUCUUUGAACCAAAAUUAAGAGUCAACUGGAAACAUUUACCUAAGCGUGAGUAGAAGUCAUUUAAUACACCAAUCAGGUCUCCCAACGUAAGACCCCGGUCACAUAUUAAACCUGAUCAAAACAUGAGAUAUAUCAUUUAACCAAUUGAAUAUGCGAAUUCAAAAUUUGGCAGAACACUAUGGUUAACUGGUCAAAACAUCUGCCAAUCAGUAUGAUACCUUCACUUUGAUGGAACUCUGCCAGAUGGGUGAUACAAUCUUCCCAAGGAAAUCACACUCUUGAUCGAAUUUGGCUGAUAGAUCUUUGACUCCAAACGGAUUCACGGAGAAGAUGCUAAGGGGUGGGUUGAAACCCGAAGAUCCUUAGGCCCAAACUCGCGGUGAAAGGCUUGAAACAAAGGGGUGACUAAGCUGGCUGAUUGGAUCCACAGAAAAAGGAUGUUAAGGCGCGAGAACUAAGUUCCCGAAAAUCCUUAAGCCGCUUUAACGACUUGAACGUCCCAACGAGACAAUUGGGUGAAAGCUGCGUCAAGUGUAAUGAACGACACUUGAUAAACCGUAAAUGAUCAAAUGGCUAACCACCAAGUAAUCAGAAAAAAGUUCACGAAGAACAAAAGAGAGAAUUCUCUAAGAAAUUUUAUUAAGGAAAAAGUGAAUGAAUGAGAUCUGAGAUCUCUACAUCGUUUAUAUAGGGGAAGGAGCAGGCGAAAAGCCAUACUCGGUAAAGACAAUUUUAUUAAAUGAAGCUAAGACCGAAAUAAUAAAGCUUGGACUGACUCCUCGGCUGCCUUGACUACGUUGAAUGACUCUUGAACUGCCAGCCGAGAUGACUCUUGGAAUUCUUCAUGAGUUUGGGCCGGGAAAGGAAUGUAAGCCCAUAGCCUUGUUAAAACCUCUACCCGGAAAACCCAUUGGGACAAAACCGAGCACAGGAAAAAGAGUACCAUGAACUUACACGCCGGCCAAACCUCAAUCCGAUUCCUGUUACGAUACUGAGGUCAAGAUGGCAAGUGUAAGUUGCUCUUUAUUGACCCGACCAUGAACCUCCAUGUUCCCGAUUCCCUCAAGCAAACUCCGAACAGCUCCAGCAAGCUUCCGGGUCUUGGACCGCGUUAAUGGACCCUUCGGAACGAUUAAGACUGAUUCUAGAACCUCCAAUUGUGCCUCUGGGUCCAUGAUCACAUCAUCCCCCCUCUUGAAAAGGACUUGUCCUCAAGUCUGGUCCAUUUGAAACAAAAGGGAUAAUGUCAGCCAUAUUAAAACUAGAACUCACAGCAUACUUACCUUGGAGAUCAAUCUUGUAGGCAUUGUUGUUGAUCCGUUCCAAAACAGUGAAGGGUCCGUCCACUUUGGGCAAGAGCUUGGACUUUCUUUCCUCUGGAAAUCGUUCAUUUCUCAAGUAAAUCCAAACAAGGUCGCCUGGUUCAAAUAUUUUCUCGCUCCGGCCCUUGUUUGCAUGCUUUCGGUACAGCUCCGUCUUGCGUUCAAUGUUCUGCUUUGCCUUUUCGUGCAUCUGCUUGACCAGCUCGGCCUUUUUCUUACCAUCCAUACUUACACGCUCACUCAUAGGUAAAGGAGUUAGAUCAAGAGGUGUAAGUGGAUUAAAACCAUAAACGAGCUGAAAUGGUGAGAAUAAGGUCGUAGAAUGCACAGCAUAAUUAUAAGCGAAUUCUACAUGAGGCAAGCAAUCUUCCCAAGACUUAAUGUUCUUCCUAAUCACAGCACGCAAAAGGGUAGAAAAAGUCCUAUUGACCACCUCGGUCUGACCAUCUGAUUGCGGAUGAUAAGUAGUGGAAAAACACAGUUUUGUUCUUAACUUAGACCAAAGAGUUUUCCAGAAAUAACUCAAGAACUUUGUAUCUCUAUCCGAGACUAUGGUCCUAGGCAUUCCAUGCAAUCGAACAAUCUCCUUAAAAAACAAAUCUGCUAUGUUCGAUGCAUCAUCGGUUUUUUGACAAGGUAUGAAAUGGGCCAUUUUUUGAAAACAUAUCUACCACAACAAAGACCGAAUCACUUCCUUUCCGAGUCCUAGGCAAACCUAAAACAAAAUCUAUCGAAAUGUCCGUCCAUGGUUCGGUAGGAAUGGGUAAAGGGGAAUACAGACCUUGAUUUUGGCUUUUGGACUUGGCAAACUUACAAGUUGUACACCGGCCACAGAUCCGUUCCACAUCGCGUUUCAUAUGAGGCCAAAAGAAAUGGUCCUGCAAGAUGUGAAGGGUCUUGGCCAUGCCAAAAUGUCCCAUUAUAGCCCCACCGUGUGCUUCCCUGACAAGCAAAUCUCGCAAUGAAGAGUUAGGGAUGCAUAGUCGGUUCUCAUAGAACAAAAAUCCAUCAUUUUGGAAAUAUUUGCCAUAAGCGAAUUUUUCACAAGAAAGAAAGACUUCCUGAAAGUCUGGGUCGGUGGCAUAAGCGUCCUUGAUCAUUUCAAACCCAAGGAUCUUGGCGUCAAGAGUUGAAAUCAGUGCAUAGCGUCGUGACAAGGCAUCGGCCACCACAUUCUCUUUGCUUUGUUUGUAUUGGAUUACAUAAGGGAACGUCUCUAUGAACUCUACCCACCGAGCAUGCCUCUUAUUCAGUUUCUGUUGUCCCUUAAGGUGUUUGAGAGACUGAUGGUCGAUGUGGAUCACAAAUUCUUUCGGCCAAAGGUAGUGCUGCCAGGUCUGAAGUGCGCGGACUAAGGCAUAGAGCUCCUUAUCAUAAGUCGGAUAGUUCAGCGUAGCUCCACCAAGCUUCUCACUAAAGAAAGCAAUCAACUUCUUUUCCUGCAUCAGUACGGCUCCUAUACCUACACCAGAAGCAUCACAUUCAAUCUCGAAAGUUUUGAGAAAAUCUGGUAAAACAAGUAAAGGGGCGUGAGUAAGCUUGUGUUUUAGCAGCUGGAAUGCAUCCUCUUGGGCUUGUUCCCACUUAAAGCCCACGUCCUUCUUGAUGACCUCAGUUAGUGGUGCGGCAAUGAUGCUGAAGUCCUGAACAAAUUGCCUAUAGAAAUCGGCUAGGCCAUGAAAGCUUCGGACUUCUCCAACCGUCUUAGGGCUUGGCCAAUCCCGAAUGGCCUUAAUCUUUUCCUCGUCCACCUGUAUGUCAUGUGAACUCACCACAAAACCUAAAAAGACCACGGUAUCUGUACAAAAAUAAUAUUUCUUAAAGUUACCGAAAAGUCUUCCUUGCCUAAGCACCUCUAAAACCUGUCGCAAAUGUCCCACAUGAUCAUCUAGAAUUUUGCUGUAAAUCAGGAUAUCAUCCAAAUAUACUACACCAAAGACACCUAUGAAAGACCUAAGGACAUGGUUCAUUAAACGCAUGAAAGUACUGGCUGCAUUAGUAAGGCCAAAUGGCAUGACAAGCCAUUCAUACAGACCGUGUUUGGUUUUGAAAGCGGUUUUCCACUCAUCACCUUCCUUCAUCCGGAUUUGGUGAUAACCACUUUUCAAGUCAAUUUUCGAAAAGACACUAGACCCAUGUAACUCAUCGAGCAUAUCAUCUAACCUGGGAAUGGGAUGGCGGUACUUAACUGUGAUGUUGUUGAUAGCCCGAUAGUCUACGCACAUCCUCUAGGUUCCGUCUUUUUUCGGCACAAGCAAAACGGGUACCGCACAUGGACUCAUGCUUUCUCGGAUGUAGCCUUUCUCCAUAAGCUCGCCAACCUGCUUCUGAAGCUCCUUUGUUUCAAGUGGAUUGGUUUUGUAAGCUGGCCGGUUCGGUAAUGAGGCUCUAGGUAGAAAAUCAAUCUGAUGUUCGAUCCCUCGGAUCGGUGGUAAGCCGUCUGGGUUGUCUUCCGGGAACACAUCGGAAAAUUCUUGCCAAACAUAUGAAAUACUGCUCGGAAGAACCGGCUCUGGGUCAGAGAUACUAGUCAAAGCAUCCUUAAACAAUAGAAGAAUGAAAGGCUGCCUAGAAAGCAAGGCGUGUUUAAUCUCACUCGGCCUCACAAAUAAUGAAUGGUUUGAACUGCCGGGUUCACUCUCAAAGGCCAUUUGCUGGGUUUUUCUCAGACUCUCACUCUCAGAUUUAGUGAAAGAGGUGUUUGGAAGAUCACUCACAAUGGAUUUUCCCUUGCUGUUCUGCUCAAGUCUAAGUUGGUCCAAGUAAACUUCGCGGAAAGAUAAGGGUGCAAGAGUAACCUUCCGGCCCUUGAACUUGAAGGAAUGUUUGUUGGUGAAGCCAUCGUGUACUGCCCUCUGGUCAUACUGCCAUGGUCUCCCGAGUAAUAUAUGGCCGGCCUCCAUGGGUAACACAUUGCACACCACUACGUCCUCGUAUCGGCCGAUUGCUAAAGGCACCGAAACCUACUUAGUAACCUUCAGCUGCCUCUGAUUGUUUAACCACCUAAGGCUGUAUGGCUGCAGAUUUUUCCGAGUGACAAGGUUCAAUUUCUCCACCAAGGUAGUGCUAGCAACGUUCGUGCAGCUUCCUCCGUCUAUGAUAAGGCUGCACACCUUUCCCUGAACAACACAUCAGGUCUGAAAAAGGUUUUCCCGCUGUUCCUCCUUCUUGACCGGUUCCUGAGUUAGCAAAACUUGUCUAGAUACGAGCAGUUUGUUAGAAUAUUUAGAGACUAAGCGGAAUAAAGAGAUUUGAGAGAGUGUGCAAAAGAGAUGAGAGAAAGAGUUCCCAAAGUAGUGUGUUUAUUCAUUCUCGUCUUUGAUACAUAUAUAGAGGAGACAGAAUAGAAACUAGGUUUAGCUAAGCUACAAUACAAAAGAAAGUGGUUAGAGACAUAAGGAAACAUGUGAGUCUUGAGCAUGGAUCCCGAGAGAUAGUGACAGCUCCAACGGUCACAAGACCAAGUGUAAAUGACGCGCCAAGGGGGGACCAUUGUACGGACACCAACUCUCUUCUUCCUUAAACAUCACACGUGAUCCCUUGAGCCUUCUCUCCUUAUUAAAGGCUAACACCGAUUCAAGCCCUAAAGCAUAGAACCUUUCUUGACCAAUACUCCCCCUCAAGCUUAGCCAUCGAAGUUGUUUAGAUUGCUAAGCUUGAAGACCCAUGAGCAUCACCUCAUUAAAAACCUUAACAAGGAAAACCUCAUGGGACAAAACCUUGUUAAGGGAAAAAGAGUGUGAUGUCCAUGGAUCAAGGACUAUGAUCAAGGGCGACUAAGGUCCACAAGUCCUAGCUUGCUAAAGAGAUUGUUGCAAACUUUAAGACUUGCGGCCUUAGUGAAAAUAUCAGCCAACUGGUCUUCACUUCUUGUGUAACACGGUAACACCACACCUUCCUCAAUCUUCUCACGGACCUUGUGGCAAUCUAUUUCAAUAGACUUUGUUCUCUCAUGAAACACCGAGUUUGUUGCAAUGUGUAUAGCAGCUUGGUUAUCACAAUGCAUUGUAAUCGGACCUUCUUGCUCAAUGCCAAGGUCUUUAAGGAGCGCCUUAAGCCAGGUUAAUUCACUUGUAAGCUUCCUCAUUGCCCUAUAUUCAGCUUCUGCGGUUGAGCAUGAGACCACCUUUUGCUUCUUAGUCUUCCAGGUUACAAGAUUUCCACCAAUGAAAGUACAAUACCCACUUGUUGACUUUCUAUCAACACGAUCACCAGCCCAAUCUGAGUCGCAAUAUCCCACAAUCUCUGUAUUAUUGUUCUUUCCCAUCCAAAUGCCUUGUCCUGGACUCCCUUUGAGGUAUCUGAGAAUUCUUUCCACCAUACCCCAAUGAUACACUGUCGGAGCUUGCAUAUGUUGGCUUACUUGAUUCACGGCGAAGCAGAGAUCUGGCCUUGUGAGAGUGAGAUAGAUCAGUUUGCCAACAAGUCGUCGAUACCUAAAUACAUCCUUGAAGGCUUCAUCUGAUUUCUCCCCCUUUCGAUUGACUUUGUAGCCCUCUUCAAGCGGCGUUUUGGCUGGUUUAGCUCCAAGUUUUCCUGUCUCUUUGAGAAGAUCAACUGUGUAUUUCCUCUGAGACAGAAAGAGACCCUCAGGAGACCUACACACCUCAAUGCCAAGGAAAUACUUGAGCUCGCCGAGGUCUUUAAUGUCGAAUACCGAGUUAAGAAAGGCUUUUGUAGACUGAAUUCCCUCCUUGUCAUCUCCAGAAAUGAUAAGAUCGUCUACAUAAACAAGAACAACCACCAGACCUUGAGAACUUUGGAGGGUAAACAAAGUAUGAUCCGAGUGAGACUUCUUGAACCCCUUUUCCAUCAGAGUGGUACUAAGCUUGUUAUACCAGGCUCUUGGAGAUUGUUUCAAUCCAUAUAUAGCUUUCCUCAAUCUCAAAACGUUACCGGGUGCAACAAUAUCCUCUAAGCCUGGAGGAGGGGUCAUAUACACUUCUUCCUGAAGUUCCCCUUGAAGGAAUGCAUUUUUCACAUCCAUUUGCCACAGAUCCCACGAGAGAUUAGUAGCGAGUGAGAGGACUACUCUUACAGUAUGGAGCUUGGCAACCGGAGCAAACGUGUCUGUAUAAUCUUCUCCAAAGGUCUGAGUGAACCCUCUUGCAACCAACCGAGCCUUGUAUCUCUCAAUUUCACCGUUACUCUUAUACUUGAUAGUGAAAACCCACUUUGAGCUCACAGCUCGCUUCCCUGGUGGUAACUCGGCUUCAUCCCAAGUAUGGUUGCGCUCCAUAGCUCCUCUCUCGUCACCUAUAGCUUCAAUCCACUCCUUCUUGUCUUUAGCUUCUUCAUAGCUUUGAGGAAUUUCGUGUUCCUCAAUUUUUCCCAUGAACGCUUGAUGAUCAGAGGGCAACAAGGCAAGAGAACAAACAGCCUGAAUUGGAUGAGCUACAGCUUGACUAUUGUAGUAGACUCUGGUGUUCUUGCUGAGCCUAGUACUUCUUCUUAAUGGCUGAACAGGUUCCUCUACAAUACAAUUAGAUGGAUCCUUGAUGAGCCUAGUACUUCUUCUUAAUGGCUGAACAGGUUCCUCUACAACCGCCUCUCCUUGUUCUUGUGGGACUGAUUCCUCUGCCUCCACUUCUAAGUCAUCUGGAGUUGGCUCUUGACUCUGCUCCUCUUCUUGAUUUACUUCUGAACUCAAUGGUACCGGCUCAGCUUCUUCUUGAGUACUUGUAGGAACCGGCUUAUGCACUUGCUUGGGCAGGACUGGGUUCCCAAGGUGAUCCAGCAAGAACCGCAGACUGGUAGCGAGAUCUGAUGGGGAGCUUGACAGGUCUUUGAGACUCUCCCAAUUCUUCUUGUCAUAGUAUCCCUGGUUCUCAAGAAAUUUGACCUCCCUGGACACAUAAGUGCGGCUAUUAACAGGAUCAUAGCACUUGUACCCCUUCUGAGUUGUUGAAUACCCAAGGAAUAUACACUUUAUGCUUUUGGCCUCAAGUUUGUUUCUCUGUUCACCUGGAACAAACACAAAACAAACACACCCAAAAACACGUAAGUGAUCUAAUGAGGGUUUAGUUUUGUUAAGUACCUCAAAUGGUGAUGAGUCUUGUAAGACUUUUGUUGGGGUCCGGUUAAUGAGAUAGCAUGCGGCUAAGACAGCAUCUCCCCAAAAACGUUUAGGCACAUUUGUAUGGAACAUCAUCGACCUGGCCACCUCCAUUAAAUGUCUAUUCUUCCUCUCAGCAACUCCAUUUUGUUGUGGAGUGUAAGGGCAACUGGUUUGGUGUAAGAUGCCAUGCUUUGCUAGAUGUUCUUUGAAUCUUUGACUUGUAUACUCACCGCCAUUAUCUGAUCUAAGAAUCUUAAUCUUGGCAUUAAAAUGAUUAGUCACAUAAUUUUGAAAGUUUGUGAAUGCUUCAAAUACACAGUCUUUAGAGGGAAGUAAAGUUAUCCAGGUAUAUUUUGAUUUUUUAUCAAUGAAGGUCACAAAGUAUUUAUUACUAUCCCUAGACAUGCAAGGUGAAGUCCACACAUCAGAAUGAACCAAGUCAAAGCAAUGUUCAUAAAUAGUAGAUGAUUUAGGGAAAAUAACUCGACAAUGUUUACCAAGAAUACAAGAUUCACAACUUGUGUGAUCAAAAGCAACAUCAGGUAACAUUAAUUCAAGAGCACGCGAGUGAGGGUGACCUAAUCUAGCAUGCCAAAUAGAGUUCAAACUUGCAGAAAAACAUGAAUUAAAAGAGAAAGCAUUUGAGUCGCUUGGUGAAGAAUCCUCGAGAACAUAUAGAUCAUCUUUGGUUCCCCCUUUUCCAAGUACCUUCCCAUUCUUAAUAUCCUGAAAGUGAACAUCAUUAGGACCAAAUAUCGCAUAACAGUCUAAGUCCUUGGUAGCUCUACUAACCGAUAAUAAGUUAGAAGUGAACUUAGGCACAAACAGUGCUUUACUAUCUUUAUUAAAUAACUUUAGGUUACCAGUUCCUUCUAUGGGAAUUCCAUCACCAUUAGCUAUCACAACAUUUCCUAAAGCCGGUUUUAUGUUGUUUAACAGUUCAGGGUUACUAAUCAUAUGAUGAGAUGCACCUGAAUCGACAACUAAAGCGGUUUUAGGUUUAUUAGAGAAGAAGGUGAUACCAGACUGUUUUGCGGCUAAGGCUUUGAUAAGAGCCUCAAGGUCGGUCUUUCUUACAAACUCAGUCGAGACAUUCAUGGCACCAUCUCCACCUUGUGUCAAUGCACCGGCUCCUUCUUGAGCAAAGCUAGCUCUUGCAUCCUUGAACUUGCUCGGCUUCAGGUGGGGAUGAAGAAUCCAACAUUUAUCUUUGAUGUGACCCUUCUUCUUGCAAUGGUCACAGAUCCAUGGCUUCCUGUCAUCGGGUUUAAAGACACCUUUGUUGGCCGAGAUGAGCUCUUGCUUCUUGAAGAGACCAAUAGAACCUUGCUCCUUUUGGAUACUUGCACAAACGUCUUCAAGGCUUGGGAGCUUAUCCUCUCUCAAAAUGUGCUCCCAAGCCUUGAUUCCAAAGCCCUCGUCCACACAACGCCGUCUUUGUGGUUCUAGACCACAACAAGUAGUUUCCUCCUUUGAGGAUAACAGGAAUCACCACCGGUUUUGAGAUCUCGGUGUUUGCAUCGUUUGAACUCAUUUUGUUCUUGAGGGGUUUUGAGAAACAAGAGAAUAAGAGAUGAGCGAACUAGAGAAUGAGAGAUUUAGAGAAUAAGGUUUAAAGAAUAGAGAAAAGAAACUCAGGAAAUCGGAACCAAUCGCUCUGAUACCAUGUUAGAUAUUUAGAGACUAAGCGGAAUAAAGAGAUUUGAGAGAGUGUGCAAAAGAGAUGAGAGAAAGAGUUCCCAAAGUAGUGUGUUUAUUCAUUCUCGUCUUUGAUACAUAUAUAGAGGAGACAGAAUAGAAACUAGGUUUAGCUAAGCUACAAUACAAAAGAAAGUGGUUAGAGACAUAAGGAAACAUGUGAGUCUUGAGCAUGGAUCCCGAGAGAUAGUGACAGCUCCAACGGUCACAAGACCAAGUGUAAACGACGCGCCAAGGGGGGACCAUUGUACGGACACCAACUCUCUUCUUCCUUAAACAUCACACGUGAUCCCUUGAGCCUUCUCUCCUUAUUAAAGGCUAACACCGAUUCAAGCCCUAAAGCAUAGAACCUUUCUUGACCAAUACAGUUCACCCUCUGCUACAUGCUCCUCAUCAUCUUCAAAAACCGGUCCGGUAUCCUCCUCGUCAUCUGACACAAUCUCGCCGGAGUCAAGUAAAAUCAUUGCCCGCUGGUUUGGACACUUGUUGGCGUAAUGCCCUUUGCCUCUACACUUGAAGCACUCAAUGUCCCUGUUCCUGACCGGUGUAGCCUCGGGCUUGUCUUUGUAAUCGGCUGUAGAUGAAGUCGGCUUGGAAUCUAACUUGGGCUUGGCAUCGGAUCGGGAAGGAUAGCUCGGUUUCUCAUUGGGCCGCGAGCUGGAUCCAUACCGGGCAGUGCUCUUCCUCUUCAACUGCUGUUCCACAAGUAUGGCCUUAUGGUACAUGUCGGACAAACUCCGGUAGGUCUCCAUCUCCAUACGAUCCUGAACGUCUUGGUUUAUACCGCUGAGGAACCGUGCCAUAGUAGCAUCUUCCGGUUUUUCUACGUCGGCUUUGAGCAUCAGUCGCUCCAUCUCCUGGUGGUAAUCCUCGAUAUUUUUGGUGCUCUGGGUCAGCCGCCGCAGUUUAUUGUGUAGUUCCCGGUUGUAGUAGCUCAGAAUAAACCGUCGUCGCAUUAUACCCACCAUCUCGUCCCAUGUCUCAAUGGGUCGAUCCCCGUUCCGUCUUCGGUUGGUGACGAUCUGAUCCCACCAAUCCACAGCAUAGCCGUGGAACUCUGUAGCUGCCAGGUUGAUCUUCUUCCUUUCUGUAAAAUUCUGGCAACCAAACACGAUCUCGAUCUUCUUUUCCCACUCCAGAUAAGCAUCGGAAUCGUUCUUCCCAUAAAAGGGCGGUAUUCGCAACUUCAGCCCGCCAAGGUCGUUAUCAGGUCGGCCUCGGGCUGCAUCUGGUUUGUGCCAUUCUCGUCUUGGGAUGCGGUCAUGGUUUGGCCGAUCACGGUCCUCCCGACCUCGCCUGUGUCGAAUCCUACUUCCACCCGAGGAGUGUCCGUCAUUAUAAAAUGGGUUUUCGUCGACAACCUCUUCCUGGUCUUGAGUUCUCCUCUUCUGGCCCGUACGGUUUCGACCACCAUCGCUUGGUCCGGCUUCAUCAGCUCGUCGGGGCUGCGUGGUCUCCAAUCGUUCCAUACGCCGGUUCAUGCGACUCAGCAUCCGGGUGAUCUGAUCCAUUUUAUGAACCACGGCUGCGUCCCUUAUUUCUCCUGAACGAACAAAGGAUGGAUCUUCACUAGAAGACAUGAUGUACCUCGCGAAAUGAACAAACAAGUUAAUAAAAGUUUUCUCAUAAGUGUUUCACUCAGUGUUUCACUCAAUCACUCUUAAUGUCCACACAAUACUAGAAAAUCUCCUCGGUUCUUGUAGAACUAGAUCAAAAACUCGAUUUAAGCCCAAACCCAAAACAGAAUAUCAAGCGGAUUAUGAAGAAGAAAAAGAGUAGAUAGACAGAAAAGAUUUUCGUCUUUCAACCAGAUCUUCUUUUUUUUUUUAAGAUCUGGGAAUUUACAAAAGAAAGAGAAGAUAAGUUUAAAAGACUAAAAGAUAGAUAUUACCGAUUUCAAGGGUGUGGCUCUGAUACCACUUGAUACGAUCUUCCCAAGGAAAUCACACUCUUGAUCGGAUUUGGCUGAUAGAUCUUUGACUCCAAACGGAUUCACGGAGAAGAUGCUAAGGGGUGGGUUGAAACCCGAAUAUCCUUAGGCCCAAACUCGCGGUGAAAGGCUUGAUACAAAGGGGUGACUAAGCUGGCUGAUUGGAUCCGUGGAAAAAGGAUGUUAAGGCGUGAGAACUAAGUUCCCAAAAAUCCUUAAGCCCCUUUAACGACUUGAACGUCCUAACGAGACAAUUGGGUGAAGGCUGCGUCAAGUGUAAUGAAUGACACUUGAUAAACCGAAAAUGAUCAAAUGGCUAACCACCAAGUAAUAAGAAAAAAGUUCACGAAGAACAAAAGAGAGAAUUCUCUAAGAAAUUUUAUUAAGGAAAAAGUGAAUGAAUGAGAUCUAAGAUCUCUACAUCGUUUAUAUAGGGGAAGGAGCAGGCGAAAAGCCAUAUUCGGUAACAAUUUUAUUAAAUGAAGCUAAGACCGAAAUAAAUAAAUCUUGGACUGACUCCUCGGCUGCCUUGACUACGUUGACUGACUCUUGGACUGCCAGCCGAGAUGACUCUUGGAAUUCUUCAUGAGUUUGGGCCGGGAAAGGAAUGUAAGCCCAUAGCCUCGUUAAAACCUCUACCCGGAAAACCCAUUGGGACAAAACCAAGCACAGAAAAAAGAGUACCAUGAACUUACAUGCCGGCCAAACCUCAAUCCGAUUCCUGUUACGAUACUGAGGUCAAGAUGGCAAGUGUAAGUUGAUCUUCAUUGACCCGGCCAUGAACCUCCAUGUUCCCGAUUUCCUCAAGCAAACUCCGAACAGCUCCAGCAAGCUUCCGGGUCUUGGACCGCGUUAAUGGACCCUCCGGAAUGACUAAGGCUGAUUCCGGAACCUCCACUUGUGCCUCUGGGUCCAUGAUCACAUCAAUGGGUCCGAUCAACAGUCUCGUUUCUGAACACACGGUUCAAUCGAAAAGUACUUUUUGGGGACAAAAGGUUUCUACAGACAGAUAGCAGAAAUCUAGUUACACAACUGCAAUUUAGAAACAAAUUUCUACAAACUGUAAGUUGCUAGCUUAUUGAAAUAUUUUGGGCAAAGGUGAUUCUAUUCAUUGACAAUGUAAAAUAUUUAUACAUAUACAUAGACCUUAACCAACUAGGAAUAUUAACAUAUUGGAUAAUACUAAAUCUCUAAGAAUAAGGAAUGUAUCCUUAUCACAAUACUCCAUCUCAAGUUGGUAAUGAGGUAUUCCGAAUUCCCAACUUGCACAACAAAUGCUGAAAAAUCGGUGUUGGUAAAGACUUGGUAAGUAUAUCCGCCAGUUGUUCUUUAGUAGAAAUGUGCUCAAUUGUAAGUUGUUUAUCUUGAACAGCAUCACGAACAGUAUGACAAUCAUUCUCAACAUGUUUAGUACGCUCAUUGAAAACUGGAUUCGCAGCAAGUUCAAGGGCAGCUUGACUAUCACAAAACAAACGCAUAGGGCCAUCAUGUUCAAAGCCAAGAACCCGUAGAAUGCCUUUGAACCAUUUAAGCUCGCAAGAGAAAUUACAAUAUAUGGCAGGAGUCUCUCUCACCCCAUCAGAACAAAUAUGUCUUUAAACUGCCUUUUUACCUGAGACACAAGAAAAAUAAAGCUUAAGCGGUUUUUUAGAAAAUAAGGUUACCCAAGUCCUACACAGAAGUAGAAACGAUAACCACUUUAAGUGAUGCACAUGUACCUUAUUUCCCACAGAGAAACGCGUCUUAAGGUUUUACCACAAUUUGUGAGAAUUCAAGAUAAAUGUCACCGUUAAUCGGACUUGCGACUCAAUAGAUGUGUGGAUCCAACCAACUAUCAUGUCAUGCUGCAUUGCGACAGGUACGGGGUCCGGAAACUGGGACGUGAAAAGGGACGAGAAACCACAAAUUAAAAGUUUAUGGAUACGGGUACGGUAUGGAUACAUAAAGUAUGUAUAGAUGUAUAUAACAAAAUAAGAUACAUACAUUUGGACUGAUUUUUUUUUUCUAAUACUUCCAGAAAGUUUUAUCAUUUCCUAAAUCCAUAAUACUGUAAGGGAAAUAACCUCUCCUGAUCAUUAAUAUAUACUAGGAAAAAUCAUAUAUAUGAUUUUAGGUGAACUCUCUCCAUCCUGCUGCCACAUCAGCAUCUGAAUGGAGGACACAUAUUCUUUCAUCUAAUUAAUAAAUCAUAAAUUUUAAAAUAAAAAAUAAAAAAUUAAUUAAUACCACUACUUCUAACUUAACUUUUCUAUCUAUUGUUUAUUUUAUAUGUAUUUAUGUUCAUAACUAUUAAGUUACAUUAAAAUUAAGGCUUUCCACAUUCCUAACAAAAAUAAAUAAACAACAUUUCUAAUCUUUUCGUAUUCGUCUAAAAACUUUUAAUAUUUUUUGUACUAACUUGAUAUUUUUUUUUGGUUUAUCCUCAUCAUGAACACAUUUUCGAAGCUUGUUGUAUGAAAGAAUAUAAAGAUGUAGCGUUCUAUACAUUCAAAGAUUUGGCGGUUUUUAUGGGUCAAAUAUCAUAUUAUUAUAACUAUAUUUAUUGUGAAACAUGAAGUAUGGGGUGGUUCUGGCAGAAUCAUAGCAAUUGUGCAUGUCAUAAAUAUGAAAGCAUUUAGAAAUUAGAGGUAAUUAUAUGGCUUUUAUAUACGUAUUUUUACUCAUAUCAUAUUUAUGAUUUCUAGAAUAAUAUAAUAAUUUUCUUACUUACUUUAAUUUCAAUCCUUAAAAAAAAAUUAUUUGUUUUACAAAGAUUUUAUUUUUAAAAAACCUAAUACUAAACAAUCAAACAAAUUAGCAUAUUCUUAUAAUUAUAUAUAUAUCAACACAAACAUAUUUUUUAAAAUAUUAUGUGAAAUAAAACCCGUGCAUAUGAGCAGAUACAAGUCUAAUUUUAUAUUAGUAUAACUCGUUCCCAAAUUCAUCAGAACGUUGUAGAAACGUUUCGGAGCCGUCCCAAUCAGUAACGGUCCCCAAAACGUUUCGGAGACAUGAGACGUCUACAAGCCGUACCCAUGCAUCAUAUUUAUAGAGUUUACGGACAACCAAAGCUCGAGUUAUAACCUUCAAAAUAAUUAUAUUUAUCUUCAAACCUUCCAAAUUAGCUAUUGAGUUUGCACCACCAAAAAAUGAUUGGAACUGUUCAGUUUCAGGUUAGAAAAUAUUGAUGUGUUUGAGAACAUAUUUUUAAAAAGUAACAUUAACUUAACCAAUCGUCGUCAUAGUGAAAUUAAUAUCAGAGUCGGAGGAGUAGAGGAUUAAAAAAGGUUUUGUCUUUUUUUGGUAUUUUACUUUAUUAGUUAAAAUAAAAAAAUCAAAUAAUAAUUAAAAUUAAUUUUUAUAUAAAAAAAUUCAAGACACACACCACUUUUUUAUAUCGGAAAUCGAAUACUUUUGGUCAUUUAUUUGGCAGAGCAAACUCAAUAGCUAAUUUAAAAGUUUAAUAUGUAAGUAUAAUUAGUUUGAAAGUUUUUAAGUGAAAGUGUUUAGAGUGUCUAUUUUAUAAUAAUAAAAGUUGAUAUAUACACUUAAGAGUGUCUACAUAGGAUUCAAAAAUAAUAAUUUUAUUGGUUUACAUCAAAUAAUUUUUUUAAUUUCUAAUAGUAUUGUUAAUAAAAAUAUGUAUAAAGUUUUCAUGUAAAAGUUACAACAAUCAAUAUGCUACCAGAAAUUUUUUUUUUUUACCUCUUCAAUAUAAAACUUUUUAAUCAUAUUUAUAAUUCAUUGAUCUUUUUGAUUAAAUUAGUUUCAAAGUUCAUUUCAUAUUUAUUUGCUGUCUUGGUUUUCAAAUAAAAUUCAAGAGUUGUAUGUGUUUAUAGUUUAAUUUUUAAUGUAGUAGAUAAAAUCAAAACUUGUAUUGGUUAAAUAGCUAAGUAAAUAGAAUAAUUUUUUAACAUUAUUUUGUUUUUGUUGUUUUCAUAGAAAAAAAUAUAUAACGAAGAUGAAACUGAAUGAUGAAAAACCAUAUAUUUUUGAUUUGAAGAAAUGAUGUAUAAUAUUUUAUUUUUGUGUCAAUACUAUGUUUACUAAACAACAUUUAAUUACUUUGUUACAACUUUUUGUUCGUUUUAGUAUACCAACUUAUUCAUAUCUCUGCAUAUAAUACGUAUUUCUAACAAAUUAUAUACAAGCUUUAACCAAUAGCUAAUAUACUCCUUAACCAUAAUUACAGUUCAAGAUAACAGUUAUAGGGCGAUAUCGAUCUUGCUUCAAGCAUGCAAUUUUCUUCACUAGUAAGAGAAGUUUUUGAGUUGAAACCUUCUCUUUAGCUUACAGUUUUUCAAUUUCUCUUUGCAACAUAGAGUGUUUGCUUAUUCGAAGACAUGUAUAUAAAAUCACAUAAGCAAUGAUGACUAGAACUUUGUCUUAAGAGACCAUAAAUAGUCAUAAGAACCAAUAGAAAAGGAUGAACAUUGCCCAUAAAGUUGUGAGUUUCAACAAUGCAAAUGAAAAAAAAGGCCACAAUGAAUGUUUUAAUCCGAACCAGUGUUUUAAACAACUUAUGAAGAUCCCAGCAAGAACACAUAGAUAGAUAUGUGACUUCCUCAGAUUCAUGACAGCUUCGACUAAUUUUAGACAUUCAAGGAAAGCUUUUGAGCUGCAAGUGCUUCAGCCUCAAGGGUUGGCUCCCAGAGGAGUGUGGUCUCUGCCAAAAGUGACGUCACAAUGUAUGGAUCCAUGUUUGAUGCUGGACGCCGAUCUUCCAAGUAACCUAUUUUCAAUUCACAACAGUAUAUGUUAACAAUACAUAGCAUUAAAAAAAAAACAUAAUCUAUGUUACCCUUCCAGAUUCAGUACCUUUUCCUUUCUUCUCAGUAUCACGCCCCACACGAAUCGAGCAUCCACGAUUAGCCACGCCCUGCCAAGUUGAAGUUCAUAGCAAGUGAGCAGAGGAACACAAAAUAAAGAGUUAAAAUGUGAAAUCUUUCAGACUCUCAUUGCAUAUGCAUACCCAUGAGAAUUGGUCGAUACUAGCUGUCUCGUGCUUUCCGGUCAACCUUCUCUCAUUACCUUCACCGUAGGCACUGAUGUGCUCCAUGUGACGAAGUGAGAGGUUCAAGAUCGCCUUCUUGAUCACCUCAAAUCCUCCUUCCUCUCUCAUGCUCUUUGUACUGUAAUUGGUAUGGCAACCAGCACCGUUCCAGUCACCCUCUAUCGGUUUGGGAUCAAGUGUUAGGACAACACCAGCUUGUUCUGUGAUUCUCUGCAAAAAAAAAAAGGUAACAACAGUUACAAGAGCUUAACUCUCUCACUCACUCUUCUCUACAAAGGAAACUUUUUGAUUACCUCAAGAAGGUAUCUAGCACACCAGACGUGAUCACCUGCUUCGAUUCCUACGCUUGGGCCAACUUGGAAUUCCCACUGCAAAAAUGUUUUAUAGCAUCAGAGGAUUGACAACUUUAUAAAACAUACAAAUAACUGAAUUUCUAAUCAGACCUGUCCUGGCAUAACUUCACCAUUAGUACCACUAAUGUUAAUUCCAGCAUAUAAGCAAGCUUUGUAAUGAGCAUCUGAAAUGUCACGUCCCCAAGACUUUUCAGCUCCAACUCCACAGUAGUAAGGACCCUGAAAACAAAAAUAGAGCUUGUUACUUUUUUUUCUAUAUACCAACACAAGAACAUACUUCUUUGGCUUGACUUGGUCAUCACCUGAGGACCAGGAUACGCUCCAACGGGCCAACCCAAAGGCCAGUUAACGUUUGGCUGAAGUAAAGUGUACUCUUGUUCAAUGCCAAACCUAAAAUCAUGAUGAAGUACUCAAACUUAAGCACCAAACUCUAAAGUAAAAUGAUAUUGGAGGUAAACCAAUCAAAAAAAGAUUCUAGGGUAAUGACAAACCAUGGCAACUCUUCAUUGACCUUCUUGUUACUGAAAAUCUCAGCAGCUCUUGCACGUUUGUUUGUUGGGAUUGGCUCACCAGCUGGUGUCCAAGUAUCACAGAUAACCUUCACAUAAUAAAAUCUCAAUACUUAGUGUGAGAUUACAAAAAAUGUUGCUUAUUACUAUCAAACUCAAUGAUACAUACCAAUAUGUUAUUACCCCCACGGAAAGGAUCUCUGAAGAUAGCUUGUGGACUGAGUAAAACAACAACGGUAUAUGAAAUAUGAGAUUGUGAAAUAAAUAGCAAAUGGGAACAGAAUUGUUCAGUGCAUUGAGAAAAAAAUCUUACUAUAGGAUCACUUCACUAUCUUCACCAGGUGCUUGUCCGGUACUUGAACCAUCAUAGUUCCAUUUGGGAAGCUCAGAAGGAUCUUCCACAGGCUUUUCAAGAGUCUGAAAUUAUCAAGAAACCAUCCAUUAAUUUAUUAGAAUCAUUGUUCUUAAUAAAAAAGAUACUAGAUUCUAAAGAGUAUCAUACCCUUGACUUGCUUCUAAGGUCAAUUCCAGAUCCUCCAAUCCUAUUCAAUAAAAAAACAAAUCUUUAGGAAUCACAUCGGAAGUUAGAUGGGACCUAAAGCUGAUAAAUAUAUAUAUAUAUAUAUAUAUAUAUAUACGUACCAAAUGUACUCAGCGAUGAUCCGGUCAGUGAAAGGUUUGGUGUCUAGAUUGAGAAGACUCUCAACUCUAUUAAUUGUACUGUUAUCAGAUUGGAGAGCCAUCACUCUAAAGCUAGUAGAGCGGCUCUGCUUCUUCUGUUUCAACAUAACCGAGCUCCAUAACUUGGACGAUGCAAUGGAGCUCGGUUUAGUCACUCUCAUUUGACAUGUUGGAGAAGCUGCUAAGAUCUGCGCCAUUUUCUUUAACCUUGGAUCCCUGAUCAAAUUAAAAAAAAAAAAAAAUCCAAACCCAAAUCAAGAUUCACCAACUUUGUUCUAUAUACUAAGAUUUGUAAAUAAUCCAGAUUCUUGACCAGACUAUUUAAAUUAAACCAAAUCACUAAAAUGUAAUUAGAAAAUAACAAAAACACAUUAAAAGUAAACCCAAUUCACUAUGCAUAAAGGUGACUAGAGAAAGUAACCAAGAACAUUAUAUUAAAAGACAAAAAGAUCCAAUUAAAAAUAUCAAAAAGAUUGAUGAUCCAUGUUGAUUAAAUAGCUAGUAAGUAGUGGUGGACCCAAGAUCUAAUGGGAAUCAACCUUUUACGAAGCUUAGUUAGCAAAGAAAGACAGAGUUUAACUUUUAUCACAAACUAGGUUUCUUAAGAUAUUCUUCUUACCAGAAACAAAUGGGUUUCCAAAUCAAGAAACAAGAUCGGACCAAAUGCUUGAAAAAGUAAUACAAAAACAGAGAAUUGUAUUGGGGAAAGAAAAAAAGAGGAAGCACCUGGACUGGAACUUGAAGAAGACUUUAAAACACUUCUGAUUCAGGAGACUUGUUGUUUGUAACAGAUGGCAAAGAAAGAGUUGACAAAAUAUGUAGACAGAAGAUGCCUUACAAUUACAAUUUUUAGAUUUAAAAGAAAAAGAAAAAAAAAUGGAAUAAAGAAUGUGUAAAAGGAGAUGAUAGAGUGUGAAGUGGCUUUUGCCAAAGAGAUAGGGGUGCGCGCUACGAGUGGCGCAAAUUUGAGUUUCACUUUUUUAUUUUUUCUUAUUUUUAUGUUUUCUGGUAAGAGUAUAACGCUUUGUGUCUUCUGCAGAUAAGGUGUCGUUGUUGUGCCUCUCAACUUCACUACUUAUAUUAUAGUUUUUGCAUGUUUUUAUGAUUUUUUUUUUAAAAAGUUAUACCUUAUAACUUAGAAGAUUUUAUUAAACAUUAUGCUUUUUCCCCCCAAUUCAUAGAGAAUAUCUACUAUUUCUUUUUAAGAUAUCGAAUGGAUAUCAAUGGUGUGUGUUGUUGAUGGUUUCGAAGGUAGAGCAUCUUUUUAAGAUAGAUUCAAAGAGAAUAUUAUGUUGAAUUUUUUAUUUCCUUUUGAGAAAGAUUUAAUAGAAAAUUUGAAAGAAAUGAUAUGUUGACUAGCUAUUUGGAAACUAAUUAUCUUGUAUUUAUCUUUCGGAAACUAAAUCUUUAAAUCUUCUCUAUUAAAAAAGAAGUAUGUUUUGUGUCCAAACAAAUUAUUUUUAGUUUUCUACUAUUUUACUUCGGGAUAUCUACUAUUUCUGUUGCCAAACAAAUUUUUUAAUUUUAUUUAUUUAUUUUAUUUAUUUCUAAAAAUUAAUAAAAUAAUAUAUUUUAAUUUUAAUUUUAAAAAUUAAUUUCAAAUAAUUUUAAAUUAUAAUUCAAUUAGUUUAGAUUAUUUUAGAUAUUGUUAGGAUUAGUUAUCAAAAUUACAAAAAUCAGUUGUUGUUAUUUUUACAAAAAUAGUAAAUAAGAUGUUAACUUAUUUAAUUUUUAAAUAUUCAAAUUUAAAUAAUAUUCUCAUGGUGAUAAAAAUAAUAAACGAUAUAUUAUAAUAUCUUUUUAUAAUCAAUUAUUUUAAAAUUUUAAAUAUUUAAAAUUAAAAAUAUAUAUAUUAUAUGGUAAUAUGAACAGAUAGGAUAAAAUUCUGUUUUUAUAUUCACAGUUUUUUUUCGAAUUAAUCGAAUGGACAGAUUAAAUUUUUCUUUUUGUAAUCGUUGUCAAAUUUAUUAAAAAAAAUUAAAUUUUAUCUAAACACAAAAAUAAAUUACAUAAUUUAUUAGAAAAAUAUUAUAUCUAUAAAAAUAUAAUUUAAUUAUAAAAUGAUAUUAAAAAAAUAAAAUUUUCCGUGCGAACUCACAUGUAAAAUCUAGUAAUACUAGGUGUUUAGCCUGCGCAAGGCGCAGACUGAAAAGUUUCAUUAAAACCUAAAAUAAAAUUUUAUGUCAUAAAUUAAAAAUAAUUAGAUUAAUAAUUUGAUACAUACAAAAUUAAAAUAAAGCUAACCUAUAAAAGUAAUCAUUGUCUAACAUUAAAAACCUUAAAAUCAAUACUAAUAAGUUUAUGAAAUCGAUAAACACAAAUUAAAAUAAUAUUAAUAUAAAUUAUUCAUCUUUUUCUCUUUUUAUCUUUUAAUUUUUUUUCUCUAUCAUUUUUUUAUUUCUUUCUUUUUUUGUUUUUUGUUUUUUUUUCUUCUUUAUUUUCUAUGUCUUUUUUUUUGUUUACUUUUUAUUCCGCUAGUUUUUUUUUUUCACGUCUUCUUCUUCUUCUCCAUAUCUUUUUCUUUUUCCUCUCAUAUAUUUUUUGAUUUUCUUCUCUUCGAGGUUUUAUUCCUUUUCUUUUUCUUCUUCAAUGUUUUAUUAUUCUAUUUCUUCUUCUUUUUUUCUUUUCCUUUUUCAUUGUCAUCGUCUUCUUCGUUAUCACCGACUUCCUAUUCUUCUGGUGUUUUUCGGGCUUUUACCUCAUCUUCAUAUUAUUCUACUUUCUCCAAUUCCUCAUCUUUUAAGGUUUUCAUCCAAUUUUUUCUCUUCCUUAUCUUCUUCUUCUACUUUGUAUCUAUUUUUAUUUUUUUCUCUUUCAACAGAUUCUUAUUCCUCUUCUUCCAGUUAUUCUUCCUCUCUCCAAAUUCUUCAUCAUAUUUUAAAGAUUUUUGUCUUAUCUGUCUUUUUACUCCUCUCAUAGUUUAUAUUUGCCUUUUUUUUUGUUUUUUCCUUAUAUUUUGAGUUCUUUUUUAUCGUUAUUUGUUUUCAAAUUGUUCUUCUUUAUUGUCUUCAUUUUUUUUACUUCUUAUUCAUCUGAUUUGUCUUCGUUUUUUCAUCAUAUUUACUUUUUUCAACUUUGUCUUCUUCAUCUUCUAGUUUUCUUCCAUUUUAUUAUUUUUUCUUUCACUUCCUCUACUAUCUACUGGUUUUCUUUUAUGACUUCUUCUUCUGAUUAUUUUUUUUCUUCUCCAAUUGGUCAUUUAAUUUUUUUUGUUCAUCGUCAUCGACCUAUCCGACUAUUUUUUUAUCUUACUUGUUCACUAUAUUAUUUUUUGUUCAUAUUUUCAUUGUUUUCUUAUUCUUCUCCUUUUUCUUUAUUUUUUAGCUUUUCUAUUCUUUGUUUUUUCUUUCUUAUCUUUCAUUGUUUUGACUAUUUCUUCUUAUGUAUUUUAUUCAUCUUCUUUGACUUCUUGAUUUUUUUUCAUUCGGUUUUUUCUUCGUUUUUUCUGUUGAUUUUUUUUGUUUUAUUUGUCUGCCCCUUCUUCUUUGUUUUAUUUUAUUAUCUUUGUAUUCUCUAAAUUCUUAUUCUUCAACAUCUUCUACUAUUCUUCUUUUGGUUGUAUUAGCCGUUUUUAUCUUCUGCUUUUUAUUUCUUCUUGAUCAUUUUUGUCCUACCCAAACAUUUUUUCUUUCUAAUUUUUGUUUGUCUUUUUCGCAUCUUUAGUUUCUUAUUUUUUAUUUUCUUUCUCAUCGUCGGAUUUUCAUCUUCUUAUACUUUAUUUUCUUCAUCUACCAUUUUUGUUCUUCUUUUUCUUUCAGUUUUCUUCUUCAACUUUGAGUUCUUCAUCUCCUUAUCAUUUUUCUUCUUCACUAUUUUGUGUUACCCAUCUUGAUCUUAUCGUUCAUGGUCUAGGACUUUUUGUUCAUUUUUUCCUCAUUUUUUUACGUUUUCGUCAACUCUAUGUUCUUCUAUAUGUUUCAAUUUAUCCUUUUUCUCUUCUUUUUUUACAUCGUUUUUCCCUUUUUUCCUUUUUCUGUUUUCUUUUUCGAUUUUUUCCUCUGUGUCCUGCUAGUGUAUUUGGCCUCUCUUACAUUAUUCCAAAAAUAAACAGAAUUCAGAAAGCCAUACUUAAAACAAACAAAAAAAACAAAAGACUUAAAACCUGUUCAUUAUACAAUGAAGAUGAUUUAUGAUAUGUUGACAUGGUUUUAAUCACGUUAAGUAAGGAAGAAUAACUGACAACACAAAACAACAACAUAUAAUCGAGGAACACUACUACUGGUACUGAAAAAUAGAAAAAACAAUAGAAAAAAAAAUCAAAAAAUUGAUUUAUAAAAAAUAAAGAUGGUAAACAAUACAACGAAAAGCCGACCAAUGUAGAAACCAAACCACAAUUUGAGCUUAAAAUACAUUUUAAAAAGUAAUAUAUUUAUAUAUAGCUCUCAACUUAAGCUAGGAUUUCCCACAUCACAUGUAUAUUUUUUCCAGAUAAUCCGAUUGAAAUUAUCUUAAUAUUAUCAAAAUAACUAAAAGUGGCAGCAAAAUUGUUAUACAAACCACAAAAAUAAAUUAAUUAAUUAAGGAUAUUUUAAAAAGAUUUUAUUAACGAAUAAAGGGGAAUUAGUUACCUAGAUUGAAUAAGAGACCUUAUAGCGAAAAAUUUACUUCGCAUAUAUUAUAUAUGAUAUGAUUUUAAAUAUUUUUUUGAUUAAAUUCCAAUUUUUAAAUUUUCGUUAUUUUCUAUUUUAAAUAUUUUUUGAUUAAAUUUCGAUUUUUAAUAUUUUUUAUUAAAUUUAAUUUUUUUUUAAUUAAUUUUCGAUUUUUAACAAUUUUUUAUUAAUUUACGAUUUUUAAUAUUUUAUUUAAUUUAUGAUUUUUAAUAAUUUUUUAAUUAAUUACGAUUUUUUAAAUUUUUUUAUUAAAUUUAAUUUUAAAAAUAUAAGAAGGGGUAAAAAGUAAUUAACCACCUUAAGAUUGAAUGAGAGAGCUUUAACUCAAAUUUUACUUUACUUAUAAUAUAUAUGAUUUAAUCUUAUUUUACCUUUCAUUAAAAUUAGUUUUGUUUCAUAUAAUCACAAUUUUACUUAUUACAUUAGCAAAAAUAAAACAUAAAUUUACUUAUUAAAAUGGUAAUCAAAAUCUUUUUAUCCGUGUAUAUCUAACCAAAAAAACUAAAUAUAUUUAAUUCAAAAAUAUGAACCAAAAAAUAGGGUUUAGUAUUGUCUAGGUAUAGAACCCGAGUUUUUAAAACAUUUUUUUAGAGAAGGAUAUGAGCCACAAGUGAAACAGAUCAACAAUAUAGUUGCAAAAUGCCGCUUAUGAGCGAAAUAAAGGAAGUCUUACCAGCAUAAUACAAUGAAGUGAAGAAAGAUUCAAUAUUCUCACAUAUCAUGGCAAAACAUGAAAAUUGUCUAGAGAUAUUAUUCUCGAUUGAUACAUAGCAUCAUCUGUAGGCAUUUAGUUACUUAGAAAGAUACAAGAUGUGUGUUUUUAGAGGGAGACCACUAAAAUUUUUAUUGCAAGAAUUUUAAGUAGUUACGUUACCGGACAACUACAAAAAUAAUAAUGGGAUAUGUGAUUUAGAAAAAUGGUAAGAUAAUUAUUGGUUUUGGAGUAAAUUGUUAUAAAGAAAGGAAAAUAUUAACAUAAAGAACCAGAUAGAUGUUCACCUCAUAUCUAUUAAGAAAUAGAGUCAUGAAAAUAUAAUUAGGUUUUGAGUUGUUUUGAAAAUAAGGAUGUUUUUAAGUUUUUAUUUGAAAAAAGGGUAUUUUAUGUUUUAAUUAGUCAGGGUAGGGACAUACUUUCAUAAUGCCAAACUUAUCCUUGUUUCUGAGAGAAAGAGAGACAGAGAAGUAUGUUCCUUAAAGAGAGACAGACACAGAAAAUACCGUGGAUCUCAUGCGUAGUCUGUGUCUGCGCGCGUAACAGCCGGGAAAAGAGCACUCACGCGCGUGAUUGAGUCAUUUUUUGGGCCUGAUUUCGAAUUUCGGAAUGAAAAUUCCAAAAACCACCUUCCUGGGCCUCGGUUAUGGGCCAGAAACUACCCAACUCAUUAGACGCAAAACUACCCUUCCCAUUCUUUUUUUAUUUUUGGUGAGAAAAAUUGUAGUUAAUUAGAGAUAAUGGAGAUAAUUGGUUAAAAUAAGAAACAAAGUACCCUAACCAAAUUAGAAACCCUAGUUUCCCUUUCCAGAAGAUGUUGAAAUUGAAGGGGAAAUUAUGCGAUGAUCAAGAGGACAACAACCACGGUUAGUUACUUAAUCCUAUUAUUGUACACCCAUAGAUUUGUCAUUGUUAUUUUCGAUUUUUUUUUCGUUCUGGUGUUCGCUAUUUGCCAGUAGUUUUUUAGAUAUGGUGUUCGCGAUUUGCAGUGGAUGCGUUCAUUCUUGUUAUGGCGGGAACGUGAAUAAGGUACUAUACAGGAGAUCGGGAUUUCAAAAUGGACAUAUCUCGUCGUGGAAGGUGCAUAAAUUGCAAAGAUGUGUCCGGACCAGAUGAUUUGAGAAAUCUGAUUGCGCAUGAGUUCGGAUUAGACCCGAGAGUUGUUUCGGUGGAGAUUUCCUACUGGUUUGAUGAUGUUCUAGCUGAGCUUAAUGGUGAUGGGAGUUGUCCAUGUGUGAUAGUUACUCCUCGAGAGUACAAAUUCUUCCUUUCGCUGCAUAAGUCUGACAAGUCUGUGAAUUUAUUUGUGACAUUCAAGGAGUCAGUAAAUGGUAAAAUGGUGAGACUGAAACGGAAGGAAAGUCUUGAAGUUCAAAUUGCUAGGGAACGGCGAAAGUCCUUAGGGCCAACAAACUUCAUAGCCUCUUCUUCGGCAGAGUCUAGUCAACCCGAUGAUGAAGCAGAUGAUGAAGAUAUCGAUGAUUGUUUACUGAUAGCACAUGCCGAGAAAGUAGAGGCAGAGGCCGCAAUGAACACCUCCAAAGGUGUACAACCUGAAGCUGUCUCUGUAAUCCAUCCUCCAUUGGGAUUAAAAAUGUCCCAGGAAUCAGAGAAAAUAGAGGCUAAGGCCAGCACUAACACUUUCGUUAAUGUAAAACUAAUGUUCCAAGUCACGCUGUCUCUGUUGACCACCCUGAGUUGGAAUUAAAAAUGUCCCAAGAAUCAGACGAGGCGAGAGAUUCGGAAGAGAAGGAAGCUGAUGAUGUUGACGAUGACGCAUACGGCUCUGAUGAUGAUUAUGAUCCGGAUUAUGAUUUUGACUGGUGGAAUGAUUACGUACUAGCAGAUGGUAAGGGUUUCCAUUCUAAACCUGGAUUUGAUGAGGAUAAGGAUGACUCUGGUAGUUCAGGGGGUUGUGGAAGUACUCGCGGAAGUGAGCCGAGUGAUUCAAACCAUAUGGACUCCUCCAAUGUCUUAACGGAGAGUCCUAUUCAUUUUCCUGGAAGAAAGAGGACUGUAUGUGAGAAGGUUCUGGCUCCCCAUGGAGAUGAUGAUGAUUUUGUGCAGACUCCGACAGGUGAUGUCGGUUGGGGGCGUCAGAAUGGCGGUGCAGAGCUGAAGAAAGCGAUUAAACGUACAAAACUAUAUGGAUUUCCGGAUGUGGCACCAGUCUCUGAUGAAAUGGGAGGGGAUUUCGAUGAACUUGAUUUGUCAAAUGAAGAUGGAGAGAUAUGGGUUGGGAAAAAGUUCAGGAACAAGGAACAUUUUAAAAUCACGUUGGCCAUCAAUGCGCUGAAGAAUAUAGUGACGAUCGAAUUCAAAAAGCAUGCGAAGAAGUACACAGUCGCCAAAUGUCCAUCAAAGAUAUGUGAUUGGAGGGUGUUGGGGUGUCAAGUUGGCGAGUCUGCGUUGUAUGAGGUGAGGAAGGCAUGCUUGAAGCAUACAUGCCACCCGGAUACAAGAAAGAAAUUUUCUAAGCAUGCUACUUCUAAAGUCAUGGCGGCUCUGCUGAAGUCUAAGUAUGAGAAUGCAAUAGUUGGUCCACGUGCGAGUGAGCUACCUGCGAUUGUUCUCUCCGAAUAUAAUAUUACAGCCUCGUACUGGAAAUGCUGGAAAGCAAAGGAGCUGGCUAUAUACUCUGCUCAUGGAACAGAGGAGACUUCUUUCAAAUUAUUACCGAUUUACCUCCACGUGCUCAAGUAUGCUAACCCCGGCACCAUAACGCAUUUGUCAACGGAGACGGAGAGAGAUGAAAAAGAUGGAAAAUGUAUUACCAGGUUUAAGUCCGUAUUUAUGGCGGCUGCGUGUAUAUCUGGAUGGAAAUAUUUGAAACAAGUAGUUGUUGUUGAUGGGACUCACCUGACUGGUAAGUAUAAGGGUUGUCUAUUAACGGCCAGUGGACAAGAUUCUAAUUACCAGGUUUUUCCUAUAGCGUUCGCCGUUGUCGAUGCAGAGUCUGACCAGACAUGGAGGUGGUUCUUUGAGAAGUUGGUAGACAUUAUUCCAGAUUCCUCUGAUCUUACUAUUAUCUCGGAUAGGCACGGUGGAAUUGCCAAAGCUAAAAAGAAAUGGUAUCCACAGUCACACCACGGUGCAUGUCUUGUCCAUAUCCAGAGAAAUGUUCACGGUAAAUACAAAGGUUCCGGUCAGAAAGGGUUGGUCGGAAAGUCGGAAAGGCUGGAGAAGCGUUCACAGUUUCUAAUUUCAAGAAACUAUACGCAAGGCUGAAGGAUGUUGAUUAUCGUUGUUGGGAGUACAUGGAAAAAAUCCCUCUUGCGCUGUGGACUAGAUCACACUUUUCUGGUCAGAGGUAUAAUAUGACCUCCAGUAACAUUGAAAAGUCUCUGAACAAUGCACUAUUCGCUGCAAGAGACAGUCCAAUCGUUGCAAUACUAGAAUUUAUCAGGCGAAUGUUAAGUAGGUGGCUUGAAUGCAGAAGAGAGAAAAUUGAAAAGAUGGAUGGUGACAUUCCAGAAGAAGUUGACAAGUUAAUGAACCUUCAGCAGCAAAAAUCCGCUGCACUAUCGGUUCAAGGCAUUUCUUUGUGGGAGGUUGAAGUGAGUUCUGAGUUCGGUGUACGGCGGCUUGUUGAUCUCCUAAACAAAACAUGCUCAUGUCUAGAGUUUCAGACAUUGAAAUACCCUUGCCGACAUGCAAUGGCCACGGCUAGGCUUCGGCAAGUGGAGUACAGCAGUUUGGUUGAUCCAAUUCUUAAGAAAUCAAUUUAAAGUGCAACAGUUUGUGGCAAAAUCCUACCAGUGCCCGACCAUGACGACAUUCGUAUCCCAGCAGAGGUGCGUGACCUUACGAUUAUGCCACCUAAGUCAAAACGUCCAUUAGGAAGGCCUACGACGAAGAGAAAACUUUCAGCAGGAGAGUAUCCUCAGGUUAGUGUACACUAAACAAUUAUUUUUUCCCCAGUCAUACUGAUUACUGAUUACUGAUAUACGCUGUUGCAGGUUGCGAAAAAAAGAAGCCAAACAAAUGCUCGAGAUGUGGAAAUCCAUAACCGGGCAAAAUGCAAGGAACCAUUGGGUUGACCGGGUGUGGCUUUUGUGUGUCUUUUGUUGUGUGAUGGAAAGAGCGAGCCACAUUGUUUUUUGUGUGUCUCUUGUUGGUAUUUUUUUGUGGGGAUCUCGCUUUGUUUUUCGGGUUUGUUUCUAGCGUACACUAUGUUUCCCUAUAUUUAAACUUGGAAAGGCAUGAACUAUGUUAUAUUUGUUAUGAAAUUUAUGAUGUUUACUGGACAGGGUCUACACAGUUUGUGUACACCUGUGACGGUGGACACAGUUUGUGUACACUGUGAUGGUGGACAACAUGAAUCAGUUUACAUUAUAUGGUGUAUGCGCAUUAUGGCUUAUGUAUAAGUUUACAUUUAUAUGGUGUACGCAUAUAAAUUUAGGUGUAUGCACAUUAUGGGUUAUGUUUAGGGUUUAGGGUUUAUGGCUUAGGGUUUACGAUGUAGGGUUUAGGGUUUAGCUUAUUAAGGGAAUCAAAAUAAUUAUCAAAGACAUGGUUCUAUAGCAGAGAAAGAAAACAUUAUCUAGAAAACGGACAAUGAUCGUGUCUUUGAAAUGAAAUUGUAGGACAGGACAUGAUGUGAUACUGAGCAGCAUCAAGAAAGGAGAGCUUGAACCAGAGCAUGGAGCUAAGGAUCAGCUUGUAGCCGAGAAAUAUUGGUCUAAAAACAAAGGAGCUAAGGCUAAUAAGCUCAAGGAAGGCAUUGGCGAGAUACCUACUUAUCUAUGGAACAAAGAAGAUCGCUUGAUUUUACAUCAAUUUGAGAUUCUUUCGUUUCUUUCCUUAUCAGAGAGACAAACCACACUGGUUUUGAUUCAGGCUCAAGUAGAUCAACAAUUGGGUAAGUGGCCCAGUUGUACUCUUUUUCCCUUACCUUUGGUUUUGUCCCAAUGGGUUUUCCAAAGGAAGGUUUUUAAGGAGGCAAUGGUGUCUACUUCUCUCAAGGCCCAAUUGUUGAUUCAAGGACUUAAGUCCAAGACAAAUUUCGUCCAAGGGAAGUUCAAUAGGCUGGAGAAGUGACUUGAAGAGUUAUUCAAACUUUGCAUUUAUUUCUUUGUCAUUUUCGAGUUUGCCUUGUUUUUCUACAUUUCUUCUCUUUAUAAUCUCUUGUAAUCUCUUAUGAGAACUCAUCCUGGAUUGGAUCAUCAAACUUUUAUCAAAUAAAACUCUAUCUUUCACUUAUCAAACCUGGACGAAAUCCUUUGUCUCUUUGAGAGUGAUUCGCUGCUUGUGCAGCAUCUUUAUCAUCUCUAUUCUCUUUGUUUUCUCCUAAGAGUGAAUCGCUGCUUCUGCAACAUCCUUUUCAUUUCUCUUCUAUCUCUUGUGAUCAAAUUAAACUCUGAACAGCAACCUGAUCUAUUAAUCUCUUCAAACAGAAGUCUAUUCCGCAAACUUCUGUCCCUGAUCUAUCUCUUACCAAGCUUCUGAGUGCCGAUCCUUGGGAGGAUCACAUCAAGUGGUAUCAGAGCACACUUAGAAGUUUCUAUGGUAGUCUCUAUCCUUUCUCAUCUAUUUAAUUUCGUGUCUGCAUCUGUUCAUCUUCUAUUUUCAUUUGAGUUCUCUUCAGAAAAACAAAACCCAUAAAAAUCAUUUUAGAUCUGUUUAGUUUGCAUCAUAAGCCUCCAAAUCUAGUGUUUGUUUGCCUCUGCAUCACGUUUUUCAUCCCUAGGUUUUGUUUUGUCUUUUCAUCUUCUCUGCAUCAGAUCUGCUCAUAUUAAUUUGUCUCUUCAAGUUCUAUCAUCAGAUCUCAUAAUCGGCCAUAUCUGUGUUUGUUCAAAAAAUAAACCAAUCAUAUUCUAGGGCUUUUGAUUGAUUUCUUGUGGCACAUGAAGAGUCACUUUUGCAUUUUGAUCUUUUGUGAGAACUAGUUACUGGCUUUGUUUUGUGCUCUCUUUUUCAGGUCACAAUGAGUGAAGAGCAAGGAGACAACAGCAACAAUAGCAACAAACUCUUUAUGGAAGCUAUGAUGGCUCGGUUUGAGCAACUGAUGAAAACUCAAGCAGAAGAACUACACCAGCGAAUUGAUCAGCUACAAGAGACCUAUUCGAGAGAUUCAGAAAGAAAUGCCAAUGGAGUUCAUGUCNNNNNNNNNNNNNNNNNNNNNNNNNNNNNNNNNNNNNNNNNNNNNNNNNNNNNNNNNNNNNNNNNNNNNNNNNNNNNNNNNNNNNNNNNNNNNNNNNNNNCUGGUGGGAUCAGAUCACAACAAGCCGCAAACGCAAUAGAGAGCCGCAUGUUGAUACUUGGGAUGAGUUGAAAGCACUCAUGAGGAAACGCUUUGUCCCUAGUCAUUAUCAUCGGGAGCUACACCAGAGACUUAGACGCUUGACUCAAGGAAAUAGCAGUGUGGAAGAUUAUUUUCAAGAAAUGGAAUCUCUGAUGAUCAAGGCUGGUAUUGAAGAAGAUGAAGAAGCAACCAUCGCUAGGUUCUUGAGUGGGUUAAACCGAGAAGUUCAAGACAGAGUGGAGAUGCAAAGCUAAGCUGAUCUAGAGGAGAUAUAUCACAAAGCCAUUCUAGUCGAACAACAGCUCAAGAGGAGAGGAUCUCGAUCAAAUUUUGGAGUUAGCUCAUCUACGGCUAAACCAAGUCUUGCUAAAGAAGAAAACCCAAGUGCUGAGCCGGUGGUGUCCGCUAAAUCAUUCCCUGCUAAAUCAGACUUCAAGGUCAAAACUGAAGCAUCAACUACUAGAGCUCGUGAGAUAGUCUGCUUCAAGUGUCAAGGAAGAGGACACAUCGCUAGUGAAUGUCCUAACAAGAGAGUUCUGAUUCCCUUGGACAAUGGUGAGUACGAAUCAGCAGAUGAAAAAGAGAUCUCAGAUUCAGUGGAAGAGCAUGAGGAGUAUGCUGCUACAGGAGAUCUUUUGAUGAUGAAAAAGAUUCUAAACGUGCAAGCUAAGGUAGAGGAAGAAGCACAAAGACAGAACCUGUUUCACACAAGAUGUCAUGUGCAAGGCAAGGUGUGCAAUCUCAUCAUGGAUGGAGGAAGCUGCACCAAUGUAGCAAGUGAAUACAUGGUUAAUAAGCUUGGCUUGACCGUGAGGAAGCAUCCUAAGCCAUACAAUCUGCAUUGGCUCAAUGAUAAAGGUGAAAUGCGAGUUAAUAGCCAAGUAUCAGUUUCUUUAACCCUUGGAAAGUAUGAGGACGAAAUUCUGUGUGAUGUUCUACCUAUGGAGGCAAGUCACAUCCUGUUGGGAAGGCCAUGGCAGUAUGAUAGACAAGUGACUCAUGAUGGCUCCACCAACAAGUAUUCUUUUGAUUUCAAAGGCAGGAAGCACAUCCUUGUUCCAAUGACACCUUUCAAGAUUUAUCAAGAUCAAAAGAAGAAAGGAAAACAGGCUGAGAACAACACCUACAAGCAAUCAAACUUCCUUGCCAAGUCUGGUAAUAUCCAAAGAACUCUAAUCUCUCAAUCAUCUAGUUGUAAGUCUGCUUAUAAAGAAACUCUUUUGAGUUUAUCUAAUGUUGCACCGGAGCUGCCGAGUAGAAGAUCUUUUGUUUUGCAGGACUAUAAGGAUGAUUUUCUUAGGCCAAUUGAACCUUUAGAAGAUAAAUGCUGGAACAGAAUUCAGUUUGGACAAAUAGAUUGCAUCUUUCCUAUGAAGAACCCAUCCGAAGGCCUUAUCUUCACCAAAAAGAGCCUUAAGCAAAAGGAGCUUGUAAACGAUCAAACCACCACUGAAAAAGGAGCUCAAAACGAACAAGGAAAAGGAAUGAGGGCUAGAGGACGUGUGGAACUUGAACACUCUGACCUCAAGGAUGCUAGGAAGCAUGGAACACCUCAAACUCCAAUACAGAUCACUGCCGAAACAUACUUGCAAGGUAAGCAUUAUCCGAAUUCAAGUUCUAAUGGUUCUAACUUAGCUUUGUUCUUGGCAGAUGGUCCUGAUUUGAGGACAAAUCCUUUUCAACUGGGGGAGGAUGAUGUGAUACUGAGCAGCAUCAAGAAAGGAGAGCUUGAACAAGAGCAUGGAGCUAAGGAUCAGCUUGUAGCCGAGAAAUAUUGGUCUAAAAACAAAGGAGCUAAGGCUAAUAAGCUCAAGGAAGGCAUUGGCGAGAUACCUACUUAUCUAUGGAACAAAGAAGAUCGCUUGAGCCAGGCUGGAUGAUAGACAAGACUUUUUAGGGUCUCAGGGCUAUCAAUCCCCUUGUCAAUGUAGCACAAAGAGGUUUAUCAAUCCAGAUGUGGUGUUAGACACUAAGCUAUAUGAUCAAGUUCUUAAUUCAAGCAAACAAGAGUGGGUUUUGAUUAAUCUAGAGACAACUAUGAACAUAAACAGGAUUAAAGACUAAUGACAAUGACAAAUGAUAUGAAUAUGAUAUGAUGGAGGCAUGAGAUUCUAGACAUGAUAGUUGGUUAGGGUGCUUUGGUGUUAAACUAGAAAUGCUAAUGACAAUGAUGAGACAUGAUUCAAAUGAUUAAGAACUCUAAUCUAGGUUAAUCCUCUCAUGAAGGUAUUAACCCCUAUACUAAUCCAUUUUCAAACCAAAUUCCCAUUUGUGAAAUAUGAAUCAAUAUGCAUUAAUAAACAGUUCUCAAUGAUCAUUCAAGCAUUUAACAAAUCAUUCCCAUGAUGAAAAAUUGCUUAAACCUCUAACACAACUCUUUCAGGAAUUUCAUCAAACACUUUUGGUGCAUGAAAUUCCCAGAAUCUAGAUCUCAAGUGAUUAUCAAGGAUCUAGCAUAGAGAACAGUUGUUUAGAGAAAUGAAUCAAUGAAUCUAGCCCUAAGCACUCCUAAUCUAACACUUUAGCACCCUAACCUACACAUCUAGAACCUCAUUAAGGUAACUAUUCACUAAUCAUGAUCAACACACUAGAUCCUUUGCAAGAUGUGUUGUUAAUCAUGAUUAGAAGUUGAUUUUGAUGAUAAGAAAUGAUGAGCAAGAAGGAAAGAAACUGCAAAUCGAUUUUAAACUCUCUAAAACAAAGUGCAUUCAGUAGGUUUUCACCAAAGGGGAAAGAAGACUAAAAGUAGAUUAGGUGUUCUCUCCAAAUUAGGUCUAAAAACAUUAUAAAGGGGGCUUGGGCGAACCGGGUCAACCCAGAACAAACCGGGUACUGACCCGGCCUUGAUGGGCAAAGAAAGGUUUGCCACGGUCUGGUGCGUCCUUGGUGUGACCGUGGCAUUCCUGACCGUGUCAAAGACUUCAUUUGUGUUCUUGGUUCAUUUUGAUGCCACGGUCUGAUCAAGCUUCAUCUGGAACUCGUGGCAAGCUACCGUGUCAAACGCCGAAGAUGUGUAGAAGUUGUCUCCAGCCACUUGUUCAUUUGCCACGGUCAAGUCCCAGACCGUAGCAUUCAGCUCGUGCCAAUCGCCGAAGGUAUGUAAAGGUUGCCACGGUCAAACCCCCAUACCGUGGCAUUUAGGCCGUGUCAAUCGCCGAAGGUUGCAAGAUUCUUCUCAGCCAAGUGUAUGCUUGCCACGGUCAGGUGUAGACCGUGGCAUGAAGAUCGUGUCAUUGGCCGAGGGUGCACAAAAGUUGCCACGGCCAAGUGUGGACCAUGGCAUUCUAUCGCGGCAUGCUUAACUUGGUCGCUUUGGGCUGUCUGGACCAUCUCGCAUUCCGGAGAGUGUAACUUCCUGGAGACUUGUCCGAAUUGAGUGAUUCCGGUUGCCGAAGACAGAGGACUCAGUUAGCUACAACUUUGAUGAAGGACGUUUCGAUGCUUGGGAAGUUUAAGGCUUCCUGGAGGGCACAUCUUUGCAGUGCAUUUACACGACCAGAGAGAGGCGUCUAGACAUGUGUCCAUUACGGAGACCGUAUCUUUCUGCUCAAAGCUCCGAAUUGACUGAUCUCGGAUGUUCUAGAAAGAGGACUCAAAUGUCUCUGAUUCUCAUGAAGGCCCCGGAAACUGAAUCGGCCUGGAAGUGCACCGUCCUGCGCAUCUUUCAGAACUGAUCUGCUCGGUCCGGAACAGCUGCGAGACAGGGGUUCCUUCCGACGAGCUUAACUCUCUGCUCACGCGUCCGAAUCCCACGAUUCCAAUUGCUAUGAAACCGUGAUCAAGUCUUCUCCAACUUCUAUGAAGCACCCGCCAUCCGAAUCGGACCGGAAGGCUCCCCGGACAGGCGAUUUCUGAGACACGUUCACACCCGGAGAUUUUGGCCGAUACACUUCAUUCGCGGUACAUGAAAAUGGCCGGUAAAGCUUCCCGCGGUACAUGAAAAAGGCCGGUAAAACCUUCCUGGCCAGCGAGAAUGGCCGAUAACCUCCCAAGACCCGAUUUUUCCACUUUUCAAGCUUUGCUCACCAUUCCACCUCCUGGAUUCAUCUUUUCAGCUCCAUAUUCACCUGAUAGACACUCAAAACAUGCAAAGACUCAUUGGGACCUAAUGCAUCUCCUAAGUUCUAAAACAAACCCUAAGGACCUAAAAUGCAUGAAAUAAAACAUGAUUUGGAAUGAUUUAUGCAACCUAAAUGAUGCAAAUUAUGAACAUAUCAACUCCCCCACACUUGUCCUUUGCUUGUCCUCAAGCAAAAAGAGCAAAUGAGAGAAAGAGGUUGUAUGCAAUGGGAGUUCACAUUUUCUUUUUGAGAGAAGUGAUCACAAUGAGAAUUCAAGUUCAUGCUCAAUUAUGCAAUGCAAAGUCAUACUCAGAUAUAUGUCAACUCAGCAAGGAAUCUCCACAAGUUCUUCUCUCUCUCAACCCUUUCACAUUCAUUAAGCUUUUAUCAGGUGGAUCUCAUGAUGCAAAGUUUAAACAAGCUGGUUUGGCUAGGGAGAGGCUAUGAGAUUAAAAUGAUCUCAAUCAGUGCUCAAGUGGGUUUAACGCAGCAAAGGGAUCUCUCUAUGAAUGAUCAAACUUUGGCAGAAUGCUAAAGGUAAAAAGCAACCUAUGCAUACAAGGGCAAAGACUCAUCACACCCCACCCUCUACUCAAAGCUUCCUCACUUGCUCAAAAAUCCUCACUUUUCACUCUCAUUUUCCUCUCACUAGGGGAUUUACUUUUCACUUUUCCUCUCAAGUCUUGGAACUCAAACUUUACACAGCUCUUUUUCUUUUACAACUUCUAGCCUCUUCUUUCUUUCUUAACAAAACAUUUGAGCCUUUUGGCUUCUUUUCUUCCUUUUUUACUUAGAGGCUAGACUCUUUCUCUUCAACAAACCAGAGCUCACUUUCUCAAAACACCAAGACUGAUUUCUUUUUCUUUCAUUCCCCUAGCUAUUUUCAAUCUCUCUUUCCUACUCAUCUCACCUUUUUCCACUCACCAAAAAGUCUUUUCCCCUACACUUAUUCCUUGCCAAAACUUUCAGUUCCUUGAUGUUGGAACACAGCACUCAAUGAGACCUGCCCUUGUCGCUCUAAACCUAACACUUUCUGCUAAGUUUGAUCCAAGGUGGCCUUUCAAUUCACACACAAACAUUGGCUUGAAAGAAGGAUGGGUUCAAGGUAUGGGAACUGAUCCAUGAUGUGGAUUCAGCUACUUGAGCUAAGGAAAAGAGUGGUAAAAACAAUGGUUCUAGCUCAAGUAUGUAUAUUGGUAUCCACAAGCUUUUUUUUUUUCAAAAAAUGCAUCACAAGAUAUUUUCAAGUCAAGUUCAAGGUUCCCACUUAAUUAGAGUUGAGUUCAAUUCAAACUUGCUUCUCAGAUUCAAAUCAUUUCAGACUUUGCAAGCACAGAAAAAGAUUCACAAGCAUAUUCAAUUCAAGUUCUCAAAGUGAUGUACUCUCUAGAAAACCUAUCAUUACUCCUUGCAAGAUGCAACCUAUAUGCAAAUGCAAUCUAGACUCAAUCCUAAAAACUGAGAAUGCAACUACAUGGUCAUUUUUUUUUUUGGUUUUUAUAUGCACUUAGAUGAGACUACAUGAAUAUGCAACUAAAAUGUGACUCAAGACUCAAAGUGUAAAAUAAGAAAAGAGAAAACAUGAUUAGUAAAGGAUGAAACUCCUCCCCCACACUUAAAUAACACAGUCCCCUGUGUUAUAAAAGCAUGAGAAAGGAGUUUAAAACAAAGUAAACAGGUAAAAUGCAAAAGAAAAAGAAAGAUCUACAUGCUAUUUACAAGGUUUUGAGUGUUUACCUCAAUUGCUGAGGUUUGAACCCGAGCUAUGUCUCCUUCCCUUUCUAUUGCCACGGUCUGUUGUUUCCCGUGUCAAACUCCUCGUGGCAGUGCUCAUUUCUCGGUCAAACCCUCCAAAUCUUUGCCACGGUCAAACCUUUAGCCCGUGUCUUGUAGCCGUGGCAAACCUCGAAUCCAUGCCUUUGUUAAACUUUGUGUUGCCACGGUCAAGUGUUUAUCCGCGUCUCGUGGCCGUGGCAAAAACCGAAUUAAAACUUAGCCCUCUUUUCUUUUGCCACGGUCACCUUCCAUCUCGUGUCAUUACCACCGUGGCAAAGGCCGAACCAGAGUUGUGCACCAUUUGCUGUGCCACGGCCAGGCUCUGACCCCGUGUCUUGUACCUCGUGGCAAAUCCCGAGCCUUGGACAUCUUUCAUUCCUUUGCCGCGGCCACAUCUUCUUCCCGUGGCAACUCAUCGUGGCAAACCCCGAGCCCUGGACAUCACUCAUCUUUUUGCCACUAUCUGGUCUUGAGACCGUGAUUAUCUCCCCGUGGCAACACAAAGAUGCUUGCCACACCUUGUUUCCGACCGUGGCCUGUACCCAUGUCAACGGACGAGUCAAGCUUGCCUCCAUUCCUUUACCUCUUUGCAUCAUGCAUUCACUUUCCAAGGGUUUAGACUCAAACCUAUAACCUGUAGACACUUAAACAAACCCAUCAAAACAUCCUAAAACAUAAAAAGAAAGGAAUCAAAAGAUCAAAAGCAUAUUUACAAAGGAUAAGCUUGGGGUGUCUCCCAAGAGCACUUUGUUUAAAGUCUCUAAGUUUGACUUUGGAAAACCUGUUUUUAGCUGGGGUGAGGUUGAGCACUGAUGCUCUUCAGCACUUCAAUGGUCCUGAGCAUGGAAGCUGAGUUGGUUUGCUGCCUUUGGGAACCAUUAGACCCUUGUCCUCUAGAUCCCACCUUGAGACCUUUGUCCACCAGCUCUUGAAUACCAUCUGGGUCUUUAUCAAAGAUGGCCCUUGUGAGACAUGCCCUCACUUCAGCAAACAGACCUGGCUUCCCAUUGCAAUCCAGCUUAUACUUCAGAGAACCAUCAUCAUCAACCCAAGGAGUGAGAUCAAAGUCUUGAGAAGAAAGAUCAGGUUUAAUACUUUUGUCUUCUGAUGCUGAGGCAUCACUUUUGGUGUUGAUCAUCCUUAGAUCACUAAGUGUAGGAGACCAUGAGAGCAAGAUGUCUUCUUCUCUGAUCAAUGGCUGUUCAGUCCCAUCCUUGUAUACAGGGUUGGUGUGAGGUUCUUUUUCCAUUUCCACAGCUGAGAGAGAUUUGGAUCCACCUAGAAUCCCAGCACUUCCUACAUACUUCAUCUCAAGUACCUUAGGGGGUUCUAUCUCUUGAACAACUGAUCCACAAAAUUCAGCUAGGGGUGGUUGAACAGGGUAAAAGGCAUCCUUAUCCACCUUUGUAAGCACCACUCUUUGAGUAUCAAAGUCAAUCAUUGCACCAGUGGUGUUGAGAAAUGCAGUUCCAAGCAAUAGGGGGAGCUCUUUGGUCUUCUUCAUCUUCAUGAUCACAAAAUCAGUGGGAAUUAUGCAUUCACCAACUUGAAGUGGAUAGUCUUCUAAAAAUCCAUAUGGUUUCUUGGAGUAGGAAUCACCAAAGGUGAUAGAAGAGGGGUAGGACGUUAUAGACUUGACCUUUAGCUUCUCCAUCAUAUCUUUAGACAUUAUACUCACACUUGAGCCUGAAUCACACAAAGCAUUCUCAACUCUAAAGUUUCCAAGAGUGCAAGAGAUGGUGAACUUCCCUGGGUUGCCUAGCUUUGGGAGGGAGGUGGGCUUCAUCUGAGUUGAUUCAGAGGUGGAGGCACAAUCUGUUAGCUUUGCUUGACCAGUUGGAUGCUCUUUUGUUUCAAUAGAAACUGAAUCAUUCCUUUGCUGAACAGAAAGAACUGAGCCGGCUGCCCCCACACUUUUGCUCUCAAUGUCCUCAUUGAGUUCAUGUAUGAAGCCCAUGAAAUACUCUAUAAUGGCAUUCUCAUCCACAUGAGUUUGUGCAGGUUCACUAGGGACUUGACCAUAGAGAAGGUCUUCUAUUUCUUGCACAACAGCUGAGUGGUCAUCAUUGGAGUAGAUGGCAUUGCAAUAAUCCUUUGGGUUUUGAAGAGCUUUACCAGGAAGAGAGACUUGUUCUUCAGAAGUGCAGAUGCCCUUGUUCUUUUGAAUAGACUUUAGUUCAGCACCCAGUGUCUCCAGGUCAGAUACCAUCUUUUGUUGUCCUAGUAAUAGCUGUUGGAGAAGAACAUUGAAAACAGGACUUUGGUGAACAGUUGGUGGCUGAAACUGAUGUUGAACAGGUGCUUGCUGUUGGAACUGUGGAGGACCAAACCCAGGUGGUGCCUUUUGCUGCUGUGUAUUGAAACUAGGACCCUGAAAUGGUUGCUGUUGCUGACCAAAACCUUGAUUCUGACCAAACUGAUUCUUUGGUUGAAAAGAUCCUUGAAAGUUGUUCUGGGGAACAAAGUUUUGUGGAGCUUGAGGAUUGGGAUACACCUGGUCUUGUGGGUUAGCUACAUUGGUGUUCCUGUAAGAAAGGUUUGGAUUGGCAUUACCAUACUGAUAUCUUUGGAACCUCUGGUUCCCAAUGUAGUUGAGCUCCUCCUGGGUAAGACCUUCUUCACUUAUGUUCUCAAAGAUUUGAGAAGGUUCCUCAUACUCUCCAACAAAAUGUAUUGGCUUCUGAGUGGUGAAUUUCAGCUUGUCUAAUUCACUUCUCAACUCCUUAACUUCUCUGGUGAGCCUCUGUUCUGAGCUUGAACCUUCAGACCUAUUUGAUCUGUCAUAGUCUUCACCAUAAGUAUCAUUGCUCAAUGCUAAGUUCUCCACUAGCUCUAAAGCAGCAUGUAUCUCUUUACCCAGAAAGUUCCCAUUGGAAGCAGUAUCCAGCUGGUUUCUAAUCUUGGGAAGAGCUCCUCUAUACAGUGUACUGAGAAGAGAAGCCUCACUAAACCCAUGGUGUGGGCAUUGGUUUGUGUAGCUCCUGAAUCUCUCAUAUGCUUCACCAAAACUUUCAUUGCAGUGCUGAGUGAAGCUAGAGAUUUGGUUCCUCAGUUUUGCAGUUCUUGAGGUGGAGAAGAACUUAGAUAAGAAGGCUUGCUUGCAUUGCCCCCAGGUUUGAAUGGAGCCUCUUGGAAGAUUCUUCUCCCAUUGAUGAGCUUUAUCGCCAAGACUGAAUGGGAAUAGUCUUAGCUUAAAGCUGUCUUCUGAAACUCCAUUGAUCUUGGUCAGAUCACACACCUUAUCAAACUGGUCCAAGUGUUCCAAGGGAUCUUCCAUUGCUAACCCAUGGAACUUUGAGUUCUGGACCAUAUUCAGCAAUGAUGCUUUCACUUCAAAGUUGUUGUUUUGCACAGGUGGUGCCUGAAUACCAGCUCCAUACUGAUGAGCAUUGGCCCUGUCAUUCUCUCCAACAUAGACUUGGGGUUGCUCAUAUCUUCUUUGCUGUGGUUGGAAAGGGUGGGGUUGGUGGUGCACCUGGUGUCUUUGCUGAACAUUGGCCUGAUGCCUCUGUUGAUGAGCUUGAGCUUGUCCCUGGUGGACAUAAGCUUGUUGAUGGUGCACCUGUUCCUGCUGAACAUUACCCUGGUGAAGCCCUUGACCAACUCCAAUACCAGCUUCAUGACCUUGAGCCUGUUGCUCCUGAACUGGUUGUUCUAUAUGUACUACGUGAUCUCCUUGUUCUGCCAUCUCAGUCUGAUCAAUUUGUCUACCACGUCUGUCUCUUCUCCUCCUUGGUACCAAAAGGUUGAUGUUGUCGUUUAGAGGAAAAGGAGGACCACAGCUUCUUGAUCUAGACCCGGUGUUCAUACACCUGAAAUCACAAACAGAACUUGAAAGGAAUCAGUAAAAACAAGAAAGUAAGCACUUGAUCUCAAGAACAGAUCAGAGCUUAAUGCUAAUCAAACCACAAUUUGGCAACGGCGCCAAUUGAUAGACAAGACUUUUUAGGGUCUCAGGGCUAUCAAUCCCCUUGUCAAUGUAGCACAAAGAGGUUUAUCAAUCCAGAUGUGGUGUUAGACACUAAGCUAUAUGAUCAAGUUCUUAAUUCAAGCAAACAAGAGUGGGUUUUGAUUAAUCUAGAGACAACUAUGAACAUAAACAGGAUUAAAGACUAAUGACAAUGACAAAUGAUAUGAAUAUGAUAUGAUGGAGGCAUGAGAUUCUAGACAUGAUAGUUGGUUAGGGUGCUUUGGUGUUAAACUAGAAAUGCUAAUGACAAUGAUGAGACAUGAUUCAAAUGAUUAAGAACUCUAAUCUAGGUUAAUCCUCUCAUGAAGGUAUUAACCCCUAUACUAAUCCAUUUUCAAACCAAAUUCCCAUUUGUGAAAUAUGAAUCAAUAUGCAUUAAUAAACAGUUCUCAAUGAUCAUUCAAGCAUUUAACAAAUCAUUCCCAUGAUGAAAAAUUGCUUAAACCUCUAACACAACUCUUUCAGGAAUUUCAUCAAACACUUUUGGUGCAUGAAAUUCCCAGAAUCUAGAUCUCAAGUGAUUAUCAAGGAUCUAGCAUAGAGAACAGUUGUUUAGAGAAAUGAAUCAAUGAAUCUAGCCCUAAGCACUCCUAAUCUAACACUUUAGCACCCUAACCUACACAUCUAGAACCUCAUUAAGGUAACUACUCACUAAUCAUGAUCAACACACUAGAUCCUUUGCAAGAUGUGUUGUUAAUCAUGAUUAGAAGUUGAUUUUGAUGAUAAGAAAUGAUGAGCAAGAAGGAAAGAAACUGCAAAUCGAUUUUAAACUCUUUAAAACAAAGUGCAUUCAGUAGGUUUUCACCAAAGGGGAAAGAAGACUAAAAGUAGAUUAGGUGUUCUCUCCAAAUUAGGUCUAAAAACAUUAUAAAGGGGGCUUGGGCGAACCGGGUCAACCCGGAACAAACCGGGUACUGACCCGGCCUUGAUGGGCAAAGAAAGGUUUGCCAUGGUCUGGUGCGUCCUUGGUGUGACCGUGGCAUUCCUGACCGUGUCAAAGACUUCAUUUGUGUUCUUGGUUCAUUUUGAUGCCACGGUCUGAUCAAGCUUCAUCUGGAACUCGUGGCAAGCUACCGUGUCAAACGCCGAAGAUGUGUAAAGGUUGCCACGGUCAAGCCUCCAGACCGUGGCAUUAAGUCCCAGACCG
rnacentral:lncRNA from 1 species